UACAGAGAGUGCAAACGUUGUUCGGAAUUACUGGGCUUAAAGCGCGCGUAGGCGGCGUCGUAAGUGUCGGGUGAAAUCCCACGGCUCACCCGUGGAACUGCCCGGCAUACUGCGGUGCUAGAGUGUGGUAGGGGAGAGCGGAACUCCUGGUGGAGCGGUGAAAUGCGUAGAUAUCAGGAGGAACACCGGUGGCGAAGGCGGCUCUCUGGUCCACAACUGACGCUGAGGUGCGAAAGCUAGGGGAGCAAACGGG
rnacentral:rRNA from 1 species